rnacentral:rRNA from 1 species
UGCCUCCGAUCGCAUAGCCGCUUCGGUGGUGGAUUAGUGGCGAACGGGUGAGUAACACGUGGGCAAUCUGCCCUGCACUCUGGGACAAGCCCUGGAAACGGGGUCUAAUACCGGAUAUGACACAUGGGGGCAUCUUCUGUGUGUGGAAAGCUCCGGCGGUGCAGGAUGAGCCCGCGGCCUAUCAGCUUGUUGGUGGGGUGAUGGCCUACCAAGGCGACGACGGGUAGCCGGCCUGAGAGGGCGACCGGCCACACUGGGACUGAGACACGGCCCAGACUCCUACGGGAGGCAGCAGUGGGGAAUAUUGCACAAUGGGCGCAAGCCUGAUGCAGCGACGCCGCGUGAGGGAUGACGGCCUUCGGGUUGUAAACCUCUUUCAGCAGGGAAGAAGCUUUCGGGGGAGAGUGCCUGUGCAAAAAACACCCCGUAUCUACACGCCACCACCCGCGGUAAUACACAGGGGGCGAGAGUUGUCCCCAAUUUUUGUGCGUAAAGAGAUCUCAGGCGGCGUGUGUCGUCGCAUAUGAGAGACCCCGGCUCAUCACUGUGGCUCUGUACGAUACACGGAGGCUAUAGUGCUCUAGGGGAGAUAUCAAAAUCUGUGGUGUCGCUGAGAUGCGCACAUAUCUCGAGGAGCACAGCGUGGCGAGAGCGCAGAUCUGUGGCGAUACUGUGACUGAGAAGAGAGAGCGUGUGGAGAGAGCACGAUAAGAUACACUGUGAGACCACACGGUAAACGUUUGGAAAUCUGUGUGUGUCUCAUUCCACGCGU